ensembl:lncRNA
GUUGGUGAAUGCAGCUCUUUUUCUCCCUUCGUUAACCACUUAGCAACAAUUUAUUUAUUUAUUUAUUUAUUUAAAGUGACAGAACUGCAAAGUAGAAAGUAAAAAUGAGAAGAGAAAAAAGAAGGAGAAAGGAACCUAACAGCAAUGUCUGUCUGCAAUGGUAACACUUGCAUCAACAGGGAAAGCUGAAAGCCAGGAAGAUCGGUAAGAUGGAGAGAUUGGUGAAGGCACGGUGAUUCUAAGACUGAUGCGUUAAGAUUUCUAUUCCCAGCCAGCUCUACUCUGGAUGUGACUAAAAUGGAUGUGAAAGGACUUCUCAUACCUUGAACUGUUUAGCUAUUCAGCUCAGGAACUAUAUCUUGGUUUUGCCAUUCAUUGCUAUGGAACAGAUAUCUUCUCUGGAGAAGAUGGCACAGUACCUUCCCCUGAGCAGACAACCUCUAGCAAUACCAGGCUAUAUCGAAACUGAAAAACAGCAGGAGUUUCCAGACAUCUUGGACACUUUCUAAACUGCAAUUUAUCACCCAUUUUCUUCCCUCUCUUUUUUUAUUAAAUGAGCUGCCCUAGGCAAUUAGCUGAACUGGAGUCUUCACAAGGCGCUUUUUCAAAUAUUCUCAAGAGUACAGAUAACACCAUGCAAGAUUUUUAUCCUGGAAAUGAAAACUAAUACUGAUUGAUUGCACAUCACCAUAGCACAGUCACGGAAGGAAUAUGACUGAACAUUUUAACUGAUAAGAUUACAGACUUUGAGAAGAAAAUGUUUUUGAUGUCAGACUCUUGAAAUUCAACAAGAAGGUCCUGUACCUGGGAAGGAAUAACUGCAUGCAGCAGUAAAGGCUGGGGGCAGACCUGUUGGGAAGGAGCUCUGCGAAGAAGGACUUGGGGUCCUGGUGGACAAAAGGUUAGCCAUGAGUCAGCUGUGUGCCCUGAUGGCCAAGAAGGCCAAUGUGAUCCUGGGGUACACGAAAAGGAGCGUCGCCAGCAGGUUGAGGGAGGUGAUUCUCCCCCUCUACUCUGCCCUGGUCAGGCCACAUCUGGAGUACUCUGCCCAGUUCUGGGCUCCCCAGAUUAAGAGAGACAUGAUGUUCCUGGAGCAAGUCCAACAAAGGGCUAAUCAAAUGAGAGACAGGAGAAGGCUCAGUGGGUAUCUGAUCAGUAUCAAGAGAGUGGGACCAGACUCUUUUCAGUGAUGCCCAGCAAUAGGAUGAGAGGCAAUGGGUGAAAACUGAAAUACAGGAAAUUCCAAAUGAAAAUAAGGAAAAAUUUCUGUAAUGUGCAGGUGACUGAACACUGGCACAGAUUGCCCAGAGAGAUUGUAAAGUCUCCUUUCCUUAUUUAAAAGCUGUCUGGAGACAGUCUGGGAAUGUGCUCUACGGGACCUUCCUCGAGCAAGGAAGUUGGACCAGAUGAAUUCCAGAGAUCCCUUCCAACCUCAACCAGACUGUGAUUCCAUGAUUUUACCUAGGUGAAGCUUUUUUUGCUGCUGUUGUUAAAUCUCUGGUGCUGCUUGCAGGAAGAACUCCUCCAGUUUGACUCUCGUAUGAUAGAAACAAAUCUCAGUGUAACAUAAUAUGAUUUGAUUCAACUCUUCUAGCCUACCUAACACAUAAUAACUAGACAUCUAGGCAUCUCUAAGCUAAUUAUUUCAGGCAAGAUGGAAGGAUGGCAGUGCAAGGCAAGUAUCCAUGCCACAUCUCUGAGAACAGAAUGAUCUGUCACCUGAAAAUGACUAAGACCAUCGUUUUCAAUGAUUAGAGUACGGUCAGCAGGCUCCCUUUACAAUCUUACUUCAAAUUUAAAAUAGAAACCUAAUUAGUUUUGUACUAGAGAGCAUUGGUCUUCCUAUCUAGUGUCAAAAAGUGUCCGAAAACCAAAAAGUCAUACAAAUUAUCUUUUAAAGGCAGUCAACAGUAACUCUGAGAAAAAGAAUGAAAUCAUCUCUCAGAAAGAGUCUUCGUAUUUUAGAGUAAGGAUACUAGCUGCAAAGCUGUAAUUUGAUGUCUGCAGCAGAAGAGCAUCCAGGGAUUUGAAGAGAAACACAGAAACACACAGCAUCAGCAAAACAGUCUUGACUUCAUUAGUUUCCACUGACUCAUAAAACCAAAGAGAUUGCAGAGCUUUCUCAUGACUGUAAUAGUAAUCCCCACAACUGUGUCACCUCCAACAAGUAAAGAAAUCAGAAUCCCUUCUGUACAGGUCAUGCAUUACACAUGAUAAAUAGUCUUUUUUCUAGAGACAAAGGGUAAGAAAAGAAAUACAGCUCCUGUGGCAGUAAGUAGUAAAGGGAGAAAAACCACAAACUUCACAUGACUCCCAAGGUGCAGAUGAGCCUCUCCUGCACUUCCUUGACCAGAAUUAAUUUGUGAUGUCUUUGUUUGAUUUCAGACAAGUAUAACUGCUGCUGCACAGGUGAGACUGAGCAUUCCUCUAAGCUCCUACUUGUCUCUGACUGAGCUCACAGGGUAAGACCAAACCUUCACUUUGAGAAGCAGCUAGUUUAGCUUAGCUACCGUGAGCAUAAAUCAAAAGCCUCAUCCAAAACCUGCCAAAGCCACCUUUCAUGCAUGGAGCUGUGAAUUGUUUUAUUCAUACUUUGGACCUAAGACAGAAAGCAGUCUUUCAUAUGCUAAGCACAUGCUUUUGAACAAAGCAACCCUGACCAAUGCAAGCCUGAGCAAAAGCAAAAGGAGGCUGACACGGAGCAGAAACUGAGGACCUAUACAUAACAGGGCCAAGACAGACCGAAGGAGGAGCACAUAAAUAACCUGAAAAGGUGAAGUGUCUCACUGACUUCUGUGGCAAACAGGAUAAGGUGUAGAUAGGAAAGUCAUUUCUUAUCAGAAUGCACUGUUGGGAGUGGCUGACUCACCAGAGGGUUCUGCUGCUGUACAGUGGGAUCUUCAUAGGCUAGAGAGAUGAGAAGACAAGAACAUCAUGACAUUCAACAAGAAUUGUAAAGUACUGCACCUGGAAAGGAACAACAGCAGAUACCAGGACCUGCUGGGGGCCACCCAGGCGGAAAGCAUCUUUGUCCAGAAAGAUCUGGGUGUCCUAGUGGACACCAAGUUGAACACGAGUAAGCCAUGUGUUCUUGCUGCUAAGAAGACUGACAGUAUCUUGGCUGCAUUAGGCAGUGUCACCAACAGAUCAAAAGAAGUGAUCCUUCCCCUCUACUCAGGUGCUGAUGAGGCCACAUCUGGAGUGAUGUGACCCAUUAUCAGGCCCCUCUCUCUCACAAGAGAGACCUAGAUAUACUGGAAAGAGUCCAACACAGGAUUACCAAGAUGGUCGAAGGACAGAAGCACCUCUUCUGUGAGGAAAGGCUAAGAGAAAUGGGACUGCUCAACCUGGAGAAGAGGAGGCUUAGGGAGGAUCUUACUGAGAUGUAUGAAUAGCUGAAAGAAGGAUGCAGAGAAGGCAGAGUCAAGAUCUCUUCAGUGGUGUCCAGUGAUGGUUCAAGAGGCAGUGGACACAGACUUGAGCACAGAAGGUUCCUUCUGAACAUGAGGGAGCACUUCUGUACUGUGCAGGUGACAGAACACUGGCAUGGGUUGCUCAGAGAAGUUGUGAAGUCUCCUCCUUGGACAUCUUCACAAGCUGCCUGGACACAGGCUUGGACGAACUGCUCUGAGUGUCACUGCUUGAGCAGGAGUGUUAGACCAGAUCACCACCAGAGGUUCCUUCCAACUUCAGUCAAUUCUGUGAUUCUGUGAUUUUGUGGUACUAUGAGGUAUGGACUUAAAACAUCUAAAAAGAUGAAUAAGUUUUGGGCAAACAAAAAUUGACCAGGAGAUGGUCACACCAGUCUUAAUAAAAAUCUGCUGUAAAGAGACUCAAGAUCUUGUUUGAAAACGAACACGCCAGUUCAGUACAUUUGAGGUGGACUGAUUGUUUCCAGUGACAUUAUUAUAGGUGCAACAUCCCUUUGCAUUCUUUUUCUAAUCGCUUUCAGCAGAACUAAACCAGUGCUAGGCAUCUCCAUCCCAUGGAUUGAGCACAGUACAGAGGUACCCGAGGCAGAGGUCUAGCUAUACCACUUUCAGUAUGGUAUCACGUUCACUUGGCUCCAGUCUUUGGCAUUGGAGAACUCAGUCAGUUGCGAAUUAGUGUGUGAGCAUUGUGUUUAUCUGUCAUGGAGAAUGAUGGAGAAACAUUGUAUAGGCAUCUGGGUGUGCUCGGGAAAUACAUCUCCAGCAAGAGAUCACCUCUUUGGACAGCAAGUACCAGAACACAUUGAG